GACGAACGCUGGCGGCGUGCUUAACACAUGCAAGUCGAACGGAAAGGCCCUGCUUUUGUGGGGUGCUCGAGUGGCGAACGGGUGAGUAACACGUGAGUAACCUGCCCUUGACUUUGGGAUAACUUCAGGAAACUGGGGCUAAUACCGGAUAGGAGCUCCUGCUGCAUGGUGGGGGUUGGAAAGUUUCGGCGGUUGGGGAUGGACUCGCGGCUUAUCAGCUUGUUGGUGGGGUAGUGGCUUACCAAGGCUUUGACGGGUAGCCGGCCUGAGAGGGUGACCGGCCACAUUGGGACUGAGAUACGGCCCAGACUCCUACGGGAGGCAACAGUGGGGAUUAUUGCACAAUGGGCGGAAGCCUGAUGCAGCACCGCCGCGUGCGGGAUGACGGCCUUCGGGUUGUAAACCGCUUUCGCCUGUGACGAAGCGUGAGUGACGGUAAUGGGUAAAGAAGCACCGGCUAACUACGU
rnacentral:rRNA from 1 species